rnacentral:rRNA from 1 species
GAUGAACGCUGGCGGCGUGCCUAAUACAUGCAAGUCGAGCGAACGGACGAGAAGCUUGCUGCUCUGAUGUGAGCGGCGGACGGGUGAUUAACACGUGGAUAACCUACCUAUAAGACUGGGAUAACUUCGGGAAACCGUAGCUAACACCGGAUAAUAUUUUGAACCGCAUGGUUCAAAAGUGAAAGACGGUCUUGCUGUCACUUAUAGAUGGAUCCGCGCUGCAUUAGCUAGUUGGUAAGGUAACGGCUUACCAAGGCAACGAUGCAUAGCCGACCUGAGAGGGCGAUCGGCCACACUGGAACUGAGACACGGUCCAGACUCCUACGGGAGGCAGCAGUAGGGAAUUUUCGGCAAUGGGCGCAAGCCUGACCGAGCAACGCCGCGUGAGUGAUGAAGGUCUUCGGAUCGUAAAACUCUGUUAUUAGGGAAGAAAAUAUGUGUAAGUAACUGUGCACAUCUUGACGGUACCUAAUCAGAAAGCCACGGCUAACUACGUG